UCAGUCUGAAGUUGGCUACCGAGUGUUUCUGGUGAUUAUUUAAGUGGAGUUCAGACAAAGGCAAGAGAAGAUUCAGCUGACAAGCUAAAUGGCCUCCUGGGUUUGUACAAGCCAGUUGUUCCUGGUUGUUCUGUUCAGCUGGAGUGUCAACACUGUUCCUGUUCAAAAUGACUGGGGACAGUCUCCUGGGAGAACUGGGAAGGUGAAUCCUGGACUCCAAAAUGCUAAGACUGAAGGAUCCCAUCCAAUGUCUUCUAAUCCAGCUGGUACUUCUGUAUCCUGGGUGGUUGCUAGACCCCAACGCAAAAGCUCACUUGUGCGACCCUCCACUCAAAUACGACCUGCGGCCUCUCUAGUGCCUAACCCUCCCAAACUCCUUCCUCCUCUGAAGCCAGAAGGACCUG